UAUGGAAACGAGUUUCUCCUUAGAGCGCACUGCGUGGCCAGAGAGUUGGGUCCAGACUGAGCCCAUUUCUCAUCCACUCCUGUCUUCAGGGCCAAACCUAACAGAAUCCCAAUGGCCCCUCCCUCAUCCCAUAGCUCAAACUGUAUGUUUGGAGACUGGGCGGGGACACCAACCCCCACAGGUGUGUAGUAGGUGGUGCCAGAUGGAGGUAGGUGGAGGAGGCCAAAGAUCUCAUAAUGGACAGAAGACUCAAACUGAAAGGGAAUUUCAGAAGGUAACUCUGCACUUUGAAUCUAACUCACAUUUCCCUUAUUGUCACACGAAGACCCAUUUCCCCAACAGUCUUUUUUCUGUAUACUCUUACAAUGAGAAGAAAAAUACCACAUAUUAAGCACAUAUAAAGCAGGCAAUACACUAGGUUCUUUAUAAAUAUCAUCAAUUCCUCACAUAUUGAGAUGUUAACUGUUUUAAAACAGGAAAAUGUAGGCUCAGGGGUGUUAAACAAUUUGACUAAGGCCACACAGCUAGGAUUUCUCUGUUACUUCUGAUUCCAGUGUUAUACCUGACCUAAAGUCCUUCUUAAUCACUUAUGCUAAUAAUUAACAGUUGUACAAUCCUUAGGACAGAUCCAGGUUUGGGGGGACCUGAAGCUUGUACAAUUUGGCACUCUCUUUAAGGAAUAGAAUGAAAAGACGAGUAAUACAAAAUUGGAAUCAGAGCCUGGGAAGGGGCCCCAGCCUGACUUUACAGUUUACAAAUCAUUUCAUCCUUGUGAGAUCAAGAUUAUCAUUUCAUUUGCCUUAGGUCAGAGCUAAACCUCAGGAGGUUACCUAGAUGUACAGCAUCAUGUGAUUCAGGAAAGACCCGGCUAUGGAUGGAAACCGCUGAAUACAGCUGUAUCUUUAAGAGACAAACUCCAGGCAGAUGUGGUUCAGCCAGGCAGACGUGCCUAAACAAUAGCAGCUGCGAUAACAGUCCUCUCUGUGGUGUUUGGGGAGAGGACACUUGUCCCUGUCUGCCCUUAGGAUAGCAUUUGUUCCUAAGCAGUGACCCAGCUUCUCUCAUGGUCAGUCUUGAGACAUCCAGGGUCAAGGAACAGGAAGUUGGACGAAAGCUGAAUGUUGCCUUUGCUCUUCCAGUGGCCUCUUAGCUCCUCCACCUUGUUCCUAAAGAAGGGAAGAUGGCCAGGGUCAGCAGGGCAGGGUUCAGGGUGGACAUUCAGUGUGGGCAGGGGUCCUGCCCCAAACAGCUUGGAGUCCUGUGAUGACAGAUGGCUCCACGCCAGGCCUUAUCUCUUUGACCAUCCCAAACAGGAAUGAGCAGCAUGUCCGAUCUGGGGCCUGGGAGCAGGAAAGGGAUGAGGGAUGGCUUUUCCACUCCAGGGGAGUGUCCAGAGGGAAUGUGGGAGCAGGAGCUGGGGCGACUGCUAAGGGGAGGGCCUGGCUAAGGAAUGUAGGGGAGUGUCAGACAGAUCUGGGGGAGAUGUAGGAGACUGGAAGGGUCUGGGCUGGAGAGAUGGGGAAAAAGAAAUCCCAAGUUCAUGCCACAGACCAGAAGUCCUUUGGUUUUUAUUCCCAUCCACAGCCUCAUUUCAUUCCCCAGUUGACUUGACCAUGUCAUCUCCAUCGGUCAACUUUUCCCCAGGUAGAAGGGACCCACCUAGUAAUGCAGACUGAGCAAACAUAGGCACGUUGACUUUUGCUGGUGGCUUUUAAGCCUCAGCCCUCCUGCUUCCCCUAGCGUCCUACACGUGAUGAGCGGAUAAGAAAACCUGGUGCAGCCUCCUUUGGCAAUGGAGGCAGAUUCACAAGCCCCUUCCUGCCUGAACAUUGGCCCCAACCAUGAUAUAAACCAGAGUCGACCUCCUCUCCUGGCUCUCAAGCCCUGUGGGACCCGCUUGAGAGGCUGGCCCUGCUCUACUGAGACCAC
rnacentral:lncRNA from 1 species